rnacentral:tRNA from 1 species
GUUAUUGUAGCUUAUUACACAAAGCACGGCACUGAAAAUGCCGAGAUGGAUUUUUAAUCCCAAAAACA